rnacentral:rRNA from 1 species
GACGAACGCUGGCGGCGUGCCUAAUACAUGCAAGUCGAGCGGACGAAUCGAAAGCUUGCUUUUGUUUCGUUAGCGGCGGACGGGUGAGUAACACGUGGGCAACCUGCCCUGUAGACGGGGAUAACACCGAGAAAUCGGUGCUAAUACCGGAUAACACGAAAUGUCGCAUGACGUUUCGUUGAAAGACGGCGCAAGCUGCCGCUACAGGAUGGGCCCGCGGCGCAUUAGCUAGUUGGUGAGGUAACGGCUCACCAAGGCGACGAUACGUAGCCGACCUGAGAGGGUGAUCGGCCACACUGGGACUGAGACACGGCCCAGACUCCUACGGGAGGCAGCAGUAGGGAAUCUUCCGCAAAGGACGAAAGUCUGACGGAGCAACGCCGCGUGAGCGAAGAAGGCCUUCGGGUCGUAAAGCUCUGUUGUUAGGGAAGAACAAGUGUCGCAGUAACUGGCGUUACCGUGACGGUACCUAACGAGAAAGCCACGGCUAACUACGUG